rnacentral:lncRNA from 1 species
AAUUGUCCCAAUUCUUUUUCUAUAAUGUUGUCCUUCAACUGUAGAUCAUUUAUCAUUUAACAGAUUUGAGAUAUCUAUUGUCGUUUUAGAGAUAAUGCAGUUUGAAGUUUUGCGAGCGGAGGCAUGCAUUUCUGAAUCAUCAAGAGCUUACCACUUUAAAUGUUUUAGAAAUUGAAGAGGUUGACAUAGUUAUAUGUUUGACCAAAUACCAAAAACAUUCCAUGAAAAAAAAC